rnacentral:ncRNA from 2 species
UUGUUAACAAUUAGUUAAGAUGCCUUAGGGCUUAAUAGGGAAUCUGGAGCAUUACCAGAACUGUCCCCGCAACUGUAAGUGUGGACGAAAUAGACAAACCACUGAAACGUUUAUAUGGACGUUACGGGAAGGGUCUAAAGUAGGAAGAUACACAAGUCAGGAGACCUGUCUUAGCUUUUAAAGUUUC